GAUGAACGCUAGCUACAGGCUUAACACAUGCAAGUCGAGGGGAAACGACAUUGGAGCUUGCUUCGAUGGGCGUCGACCGGCGCACGGGUGAGUAACGCGUAUCCAACCUGCCUCUGACUAAGGGAUAACCCGGCGAAAGUCGGACUAAUACCUUAUGAUGUUUUCAGCAGACAUCUAAUGAAAACGAAAGAUUUAUCGGUCAGUGAUGGGGAUGCGUCUGAUUAGCUUGUUGGCGGGGUAACGGCCCACCAAGGCAACGAUCAGUAGGGGUUCUGAGAGGAAGGUCCCCCACAUUGGAACUGAGACACGGUCCAAACUCCUACGGGAGGCAGCAGUGAGGAAUAUUGGUCAAUGGGCGAGAGCCUGAACCAGCCAAGUAGCGUGCAGGAUGACGGCCCUAUGGGUUGUAAACUGCUUUUAUGUGGGGAUAAAGUGAGCUACGUGUAGUUUAUUGCAGGUACCACAUGAAUAAGGACCGGCUAAUUCCGUGCCAGCAGCCGCGGUAAUACGGAAGGUCCAGGCGUUAUCCGGAUUUAUUGGGUUUAAAGGGAGCGUAGGCCGUGGAUUAAGCGUGUUGUGAAAUGUAGACGCUCAACGUCUGAAUUGCAGCGCGAACUGGUUCACUUGAGUAUGCACAACGUAGGCGGAAUUCGUCGUGUAGCGGUGAAAUGCUUAGAUAUGACGAAGAACUCCGAUUGCGAAGGCAGCUUACGGGAGCACAACUGACGCUGAAGCUCGAAGGUGCGGGUAUCAAACAGGCUUAGAUACCCUGGUAGUCCGCACAGUAAACGCUGGAUGCCCGUUGUUAGUUCACCUAAGAAUUAGUGACCAAGCGAAAGCAUUAAGCAUCCCACCUGGGGAGUACGCCGGCAACGGUGAAACUCAAAGGAAUUGACGGGGGCCCGCACAAGCGGAGGAACAUGUGGUUUAAUUCGAUGAUACGCGAGGAACCUUACCCGGGGCUUGAAAUUGCAGACGAACGAUUCAGAGAUGAUGAGGCCCUUCGGGGGUGUCUGUGAAGGUGCUGCAUGGGUUGUCGUCAGCUCGUGCCGUGAGGUGUCGGCUUAAGGCCAUAACGAGCGCACCCCCUUUUUUAGUUGCCCAUCAGGGUGAUGCCUGGGCACUCCUGAAGAAUCUGCCACCGAUACGGGUGUGAGGAAAGGGUGGGGAAUACGUUCAAAAUACCCACGGGCCCUUACGUUCGGGGGCCACACCCAG
rnacentral:rRNA from 1 species